rnacentral:rRNA from 1 species
GGUCGCAGAGGGUUUAGGGCAGAUGCGGGAUGGAGCGGCUGCCGGUCACGGACGGUCUUGGGAGCUAGCAGAGGAAGGCACGCAGGCUCCACCACCACGUGUGUCCUCUCUGCCGUGUGCCUUCCACGAGUACCUCCAGUGCUGGCUUUAUCCCGGCGUGAACCGGCCGUUGUCUGAUACGCGCGCCGCCCUCCACCGGUUAAAAGUGACGACCGAUUGGAUAGGCCGAGCGGGGUACCUCCACCUGUCGGUAACCCUCCAGUGUCGGCAACGCUCUCCAACCCACCUCCGUGUCGCCCCGAAGUUGCAAGAACGGAGGCCUGCGGGGCCUGCUAGUAGGCACCGAAAAUACCAAGGCGACGGACCUCCGCAAGCAGUGGCUCGCUCCAACCGGAACGAGGGUAACGACGACAGGUACCGCCGGCUCUACCUGUACCGUUUGACGCAUAUACAGCGUAGGAACGGCGCCACUCUACUCGGCUCCGCUCCACACAAAACUUAAAGCCAAACACAAAAAAAAGCAGGAACCGGCUUUACCUGCUUAAAGCCCUUAAAAUU